UACUGUGAUUACUUUUAGAAAUCAGAAAACCUCUGCAACUCCAAAUGGCAUUCAGCUCUUGCAUUUGGCGCACCAUCAGGCUGAGCGGACCAGCUAUGCCAAGAACGUUAGCCAAGCCACCAGGUAGUGGCUUUAUCACGCCAGUUCUGGGUCCUGGCUGCCAUCUUCCCACAGAAAGCAGAAGAGCGCCCACAGAACUCUGGGAGAUUGCAAAGGUCAUAUGUGCAUAUUUACCAGUGAAUGGCCCUAGGUGGGCACCAUGGGGGUGUUCAGAGCAAGCCAAACGCUGCAAUGAUUCUUUACAGACACUUAAGACUGACUUUUUUAUGAAUUACUUAAUCGAAACCAAAGAAACUUUUUCUGCACCUACUUCUGCAACAAACAGAACUGUCCCAUUAAAUGAAUAAACAAAUCCGUAAAUCAAUGGAAAUCACCAUCAACAAGAAGGAAGCACGCCAGAAAAAAGAAAACCCACAAAAAACAAAAAUCAGCGCGACACACUGUGUUCAAACAGACCUCUUGGGACAUUUUUUGGAAGCAGAUUUGAAAGAAAGGGUUGAGACAAGAAUUGAAGUAAGGAAGAGCCUGAAUGGCUGCUGCUUCAUUUGACAACUCACAUGGUAAUCUUAAAGUUGAAGAUUGUCUUUAAUUUGUGCCUAUGCAGUUUUUCAAAAGAACACGGAACAGAGCAACAGAAACCUCAACAGCUACAAUACCAAAGAUGAGGAUUUCUCACACCUUUUGUUUCAGUUCAUUAUCUUCUUUUGCCUGGCUAAAAUACUAAUAGCGCCAUUGAUCUGUACAAAGAGAGCACUGCAGUUUGUUUGCUGUCAGAACAACAGAGCAAAUUUUGUGGACAAGCAAUGACUACUCAACCUGAACCUGUGCAUUCAGAAAACAUAAGCUGAGACCCUGCUUCACCAGCCUGGAUUUCGGGGCUUCUAUAUGGAAAGUGGAAAAAUAAAUUUUAAAAAAAUCAUAAACAAAAAAGAGAGAAACCCUUAACACUAGCUGCUUCCAAGAAUGAACUCUGUGUGUGCCAGAAGCAACAAAACAGAAAAGGAAAAAAAAGCAGAAAAAAAGAAAAAAAAGGAAAAACUUUCUAUUUCUAGUGAGAACCAAAGAAGGCUACCUCACUGACUUUUUCCAUUUGUAAUUUUAAUCGUGUUGAUGACACCAAAGAUACCAAAGAUUUCUUUCUCUGUGCGGUCUGCAUUUUGCUUGUGCUCUUUUAUAAUUUAACUAUUCUCUCUGACAUAUGGUAUGUACAGCCACAGCUCAGAUACCCCAAAGAAAUAAUUAUCUAUGUGAUGGUGGCUGCUAAUUUGGAAAGGGAUAUUUUCUGUGUUUCUCUCAUUUAUUUGCUCUCUCCACAUGAUCAGGACGCAAGUUUAGAUGCUGCUUUAAUUGGAUUCCCUAAAUUAUGAUCCCUAAAUUGAUGAAGACUGGUAGGAGAGGGCCUUCAGUUCUAGCCAUGACCUCUGUCCCUCCUGUGGAGCUAUCACAGGAAAGAGACAAGUACUGGGUCAUAGAAAUUCUAACCAUUGGAUUGUAGAGUAGGAAAAGGACUAUAGGAUUCAUUAAGUCCAGCCCCCUAUGUCCUGGAGAAAUGAAAUCAUUAUCCAAGUCAAAUUACACCAGAGUCACAGCCACUAAUCUCCUAGCUCCACCCCAGUGCUCUGCAUAUUGCUGUCAAGUAGGCAAGUAGGAAAGUAGCAAUCCUGUAGCUGCUUAUUAUCUAACAUUCUCAUCCUAUAAGGAUAGUUACAGGUACUUUCAGUAUCUUAUCCAGUUACAUCUCCACAGAGGUACAUAUGAUCCAGUGCUUAGUAAGGUCGACAGUCUUGAAAUAUUAGGGCUCAUUUGGAGGUUUCUAACCUGGGAAGUGCAUAUUGAUCCAAACAGUGCGAUCACUUUUGAACCUCCCCAUUAAAAGUGUUGUAUAAACAAGCUUUUAAUUCAGUAGGAAGAGAGAGUUCAUUCUUGGCCCAUUAAAUUUAAUUAUUAUGGACAUUUUAAGGUCAGUAUUUACCAAGAAAGAGAACAUGACUAUAGUUUGCACAUACAGCAUUUCAGUGAUCAGCUUUUUCUUUUAUUCUUUUUUACUUAUAGAUGUUUAAAUUUUAUUCCUAAGCCAAAGGUAUAUUUUCAAGAGCCUUACAUUUUUGAUGCUAAACAGCUACUCAUUGUAAAUGAAGAAUGAGCCCAAGAUUUCAAAUGCAUGGAUAUGCCAUUUUUAAAAAUGGUUACUUAGGGCUCGGAUUUAGCUCAGUGGUUCCAGCGCCUGCCUUGCAAGCGCAAGGUCCCAAGUUCGAUUCCCA
ensembl:lncRNA